rnacentral:rRNA from 1 species
CACAUGCAGUCGAACGAGCGAGAGAGAGCUUGCUUUCUCGAGCGAGUGGCGAACGGGUGAGUAACGCGUGAGGAACCUGCCUCAAAGAGGGGGACAACAGUUGGAAACGACUGCUAAUACCGCAUAAGCCCACAGGUCGGCAUCGACCAGAGGGAAAAGGAGCAAUCCGCUUUGAGAUGGCCUCGCGUCCGAUUAGCUAGUUGGUGAGGUAAUGGCCCACCAAGGCAACGAUCGGUAGCCGGACUGAGAGGUUGAACGGCCACAUUGGGACUGAGACACGGCCCAGACUCCUACGGGAGGCAGCAGUGGGGAAUAUUGCACAAUGGGGGAAACCCUGAUGCAGCGACGCCGCGUGGAGGAAGAAGGUCUUCGGAUUGUAAACUCCUGUUGUUGAGGAAGAUAAUGACGGUACUCAACAAGGAAGUGACGGCUAACUACGUGCCAGCAGCCGCGGUAAAACGUAGGUCACAAGCGUUGUCCGGAAUUACUGGGUGUAAAGGGAGCGCAGGCGGGAAGACAAGUUGGAAGUGAAAUCUAUGGGCUCAACCCAUAAACUGCUUUCAAAACUGUUUUUCUUGAGUAGUGCAGAGGUAGGCGGAAUUCCCGGUGUAGCGGUGGAAUGCGUAGAUAUCGGGAGGAACACCAGUGGCGAAGGCGGCCUACUGGGCACCAACUGACGCUGAGGCUCGAAAGUGUGGGUAGCAAACAGGAUUAGAUACCCUGGUAGUCCACACCGUAAACGAUGAUUACUAGGUGUUGGAGGAUUGACCCCUUCAGUGCC